GCCUGCUUGGCUCAGUUGGCAGAGCGUUGCUCUCGUAAAGCAAAGGUCGGGUGUUCGAUUCACCCAGUAGGCA